CCACUCACACAGCAGCAGCAGCAGCACAAUGAUGAUGUCACUGACUCUCCUGCUGGCCACCCUGGGGCUCCUUGUUCAGGGUUCAUCAGGAGAAAUCAUCCUGACUCAGACUCCUGAAGCUCAGUCUGUUGUUCCAGGACAGACUGUCUCUAUCAGGUGUAAAGCCAGUUCAAGUAUGGGUAGCUACCUCCACUGGUAUCUUCAGAAACCUGCAGAAGCUCCUAAACUGCUUGUUUAUUAUGCUACAACUCGUCAGUCUGGAGUUUCUGAUCGUUUCAGUGGGAGUGGAUCUGGAACUGACUUCACUUUGACCAUCAGUGGAGUUCAGGCUGAAGAUGCAGGAGUUUAUUACUGUGGACAAAGUGGUUACAGCUAUCCGUUCACACAGUGAAAAACCGUCGUACAAAAACCUCUUUCAGCUGGAGAGGAACUGAAACGCUGAGAGGAAUCAUUAAUUCAGGUUUUAUCCUUAAAUUUAUUUUGAGUACGCUGCUCUUCAGUGUUUCACUUCCCUCUUUGAGUUCAGAAACCAUGGUAACAGACAGGUGUCACUGCUGAACCAUGGCAACAGAUGAAUUUCAGUACUAAAGAUACAAUUUUAAAUAUUUUGUUCUUCAAAUUUAAUCAACAAACCACUAAUUCUUAGUUUUAGAGAUAAAAAUAUAUUUUUAAUGAUGGAAACUAUCUUGGAAAUUCAAACUUCCUGAACAAAAACAUUAAAAAUGAGAAAUAAAAACUGAAUUAGUAACUGAAUUCAAAUGAACACCAGUACUGAUUUGACUUUGACCCUGCAUGCCAUAACAAUGAACUCAAUUAUACAUUACAAGCAUAUUUAAUGAAAAAAAUGAACUGAAAAAAAAAAGUAAAAUAAAUUCAUA